GUGCACCACUGGAAAUGUUUGCAAGGUGCCCUUCUUAAGGCAUGAUUUUGGGCAACAGGAGUGGGAGAGUGUGGGCAGAAUCAUUGCAUUUGGAUGGGUUAGAGAGAAAUAUCUGCCUGUGAAAAUUGCACCUGCCAUUCUAGAACAAGCUGCCUUUGGAUAUGUAAAGAGUGAUAUUGUGGAGGAUUUCCUUAAGUUCAUGCCUGAAUCUGAGCGUACAGUGUUAGAGGCGUGGCGAUCAGACUUUAGCAUCGUGGACCAAGAAGAACUUAUAGACAUACUUGAUAACCACAGCUGCAGAAAGAUACCAACAGCCUACAAUGCCACUGAAGUCCUAUUGGAGCUUGCACACAAAACACUUGUCCAAGAGCCUGCCUAUGUUAUUGAACAGUGGGCAAGAACACUCAGCACUGCAUGGGAAAGCAUUUGUGAUCUAUCGUCACUUUUUGAAACCCUCCAACCAAAUGUUUUGCACAGGUUCAGAUUUACAUCUUGGAAAGAACAUCAUCAUUGGGUUUAACGAACUUAAAGGUUUCCAGAGACGACCUGUGGCACACACAUGUGGAUGUGUACUGGAGCUGUCGAUAAAUUAAGCACAAAGAUUGGCUGCUCACCUCAUCAUUCUUCUUGUCUUCGAUGUGCUCAAAGAAGUUCACAGCAUAACUACAGUCAGUAAAGGAUCAUUUGAAGCUGGACAAUCCAUCUCCAUCCCAUCUCUCCAUGACUCCCAAUACAUAAACCAUGUGAAGUACUUGUGUGAAGGAUAUUAUUGGAGAUACCCCCAGUCUCUAUGUGGAUCAUCAGAGAACUACAGGAUAUAUUGGAGGAAACAUAACCAUCAGAUGUCACCACAGUAACUCUGGAGAAAUGAAGUGGUGCAGGCUGGGCAAGAACUGUGUGACAGGAUCAUCAGGAUCUAUAGAUGGUGCAGCAGUGACCACUCACAUGAGAGACCCAAAUGUUUUCACAAUGACCGUGAGUGGACUAAGGUCAGAGGACAGUGGCUGGUAUUUGUGUGCUAAAGAGGACAUUGGGAGACUGACUACCUCUACCCACACUGUUGCUGGAAAUCUAACAUUUACCACAUUCGAAAAUAACCAACAUAGAUUUUGUACAGCUUCAUUUGACCCUAAGAGCCUCAUCUUUUGUCUGAGUUUGUUGAUCUUCAUUUUAAUUGCGGUGCCGUUCAACUGUUUUAUAUUAAUAUACAAGAAGCAUAAAGCAGAAUCACCAGUGACAGCAAUGGUUGAAGAGGAAGUAACAUACUCAGAAGUUAGAUACCUGAAAGGCAAGAUGGAUGGGGAAGUAACAGACUCCACUGUGAGAAAUGUGGGAAGAAAAACACCAAAGGAUAAAUGCACAGAAGUUACAUACAGCAUCCAUCCAUCCAGUCACCACUGAAAUAUUUAAAAAUUACAACUUUCUGCCUUUUUAUUUUUCUUAUCCGUAGCUGUAUUACUGAAGUCUUUGUCAGAGAAGUGAUGCAAUGUGUUGAAUCUACUGCUCAGCUUGUCCUGUAACUCUUUUCUUUAAGAUCUUUAAGCUGUCACAGUUUAUUUUGUAAUUCUUGAAUGGAAUUCUGGCUGUAAAAGAUGAGUUAAGGCUCCAUCAUGUGGUGGGUUUGAUAUAUGGUUGGAUUUUUAAUGUGAGAGAAUAUCCAUCCAUCCAUCCAUCCAUCCAUCCAUCCAUCCAUCCAUCCAUCCAUCCAUCCAUCUUUUUUCUGCUUAUCAGCUACCAUUCAGAGGAAACCCAUUUCUGCCGCUUGUAUCUGCGAUCUCGUUCUUUCAGCCUUAGAUUUGGAUGUGCUGAUUCUCAUUCCGACCGCUUCACACUCGGCUGCUAACUGUUCCAAUGUGAGCCACAUCAUCACAUCAACCACCACCACAUCAACCACGUCAUCCAUGAAAAGCAGAGAUAAGAUUCUGAGACCACUGAAGUGAAAGCCUUCCACCACUUGGCUGCGCCUAGAAAUUCUGGCAAUAAAAAUUACAAACAGAAUCGGUGACAUAGCCCUGGCAGAGCCCAUCACCCACCAGGAACAAGUCUGACUUAUUGCGGACCGAACUCUUGCAACGGUUGUAUUAGGAUCAAAAGGCCCGUAGCAAUGGGUCAAACACCCCAUACUCCCGGAGCACCUCCCAUAGUACACUCCAAGGGACACGAUCAAAUGCCUUCUCCAAACCCACAAAACACAUGUAGACUGUUGGGCAAACUCCCAUGCACCCUCAAGUAUCCUUGAGAGGAUAAAGAGCUGGUCCAGUGUUCCUCAGCCAGGACGAAAACCACAUUGUUCCUCCUGUAUCCAAGUUUCGACUAACAGAUGGACUCUCCUUUCCAGCACCCAUGUCUGCCAGUCCUGGGGUACUGCCCCACCCCUGAUCUCCACGCAAGAUUGUAGAGGCGUGUCAACCAGGACAGCCCUACAACAUACAGGGAGUGCAGAAUUAUUAGGCAAAUGAGUAUUUUGUCCACAUCAUCCUCUUC
ensembl:lncRNA